UUCAGGGUAAUGCCAGCCCAUCGGAGCCCUCACAGCAGCUGGCUUCCAGCGCUGACAGAGUCUCAGCCCAGUCCUGGCUGGGGUCCAGGCUGCCUCCCACCCCUGCGGGGACACAGCCAGCUUCUCUCAGCUCUGGCCAUCUGCUCUCAGCCUCCCGUCCCUAAUCCGGGUGCGAAAGGAACACAGGCACCCGACUCCCCUUCUCUUCCCACCCUGAAGACAAGCGCAUGCCUUUUAAGGAGUUUGCCGCCAACCCCUUCAGGGAAAGCACAGUGAGUAACAGAGGUAUCGUGAAAACGAGGGAUUUACAAAUGUUUCAGACUUGAAGCAGCUGUUACAGCCCCGGCCGCUGGUGGGUGAACUUCCUGUCUGACCCUACUUGAAGAGGCCCACCUGCCCCAGGACAGAUGACCCCGCCAGAUUAGACUUGGGCAACAAACGCCCAGAUGUGCAAGCCUCCGGCGGCCUCUGUGUCUGCUGGGAAAGAAUCUCUGGGCUCAGUGUCUGGAUCAUCCACCAUCGCUGGUGUGGGCCAGGCUGAGAAUGUAGUACAGACUCAGCAGAAGGAGCACCCUGAGGGCAGAGGGAAAGAAGAAAUGAGGAGCUGGGAAGCCAGACCAACCUGCAUGGAGACCUGGGCUAGGGCCAGGGAAAGUGUGCCCCUGCCCCCAGCACCAGUGGGCCCACAGGCCUGGGUGCGAGGGGUGUUGUAGAGAGAAAGCUUUGGACUUAUGGUCCAGAUACCUAGGCUCUGUCCUAACUCUGCCACCCAGUAACUGUGUGAUCAGGGGAACCCACUUGCCCUCUCUGGGCUUUAGUCUUUCCACCUUGAAGACUGAGACAACAGAAGAAAUGAAAUAUGUGAAGUGUGGAGCCCGAGUCAUGAGUAGGCACUCAACAAACAUGACUCCUCAUCUUGUAACCUAAAGCCAGUUGUUGACCACUUCCUGGGGGCUAAGACCCUUCCCAGCCCAGACGAUCUAUUUCUGAAAGAAUCCAUCUUUUCUUCCCUCAUCAGAACAGGCAUGGCCCACCGCACCCAGAUCCCACAGAGACCCUGCUCAAAGGUAGGGGCUUGAACAGUAAGAAGGGAAGAAAGCUGGGGGUUGAGGGAGGUGGGCAGACAUGGUAACAGGAGGGGCUUCCCGCAGCAGAGCCUGACAUGGAUACCUGCCAAGACUCAUCCUGCACCUCCCUGACUUCAUCCAUCCAACCUGCCCCUGCUCCGUCCCUCCCUGCCAACCAUCACAUGUUCCCUGCGGCUAUAACCGUGGACUCAGACCAUUCCGUUUGGUGCUGUGGCUCAACCCUCCUGGAUCAUCC